ACAAAAUGAUUAUCAAUGUGAAAAACAUAACUGAUGUGUAAUCAGAAGAUGGAGUUUAAAUCCUAGUUCUGUCAUUUAUCACUGUGUGACCUACAACAAGAUAUUUAACAU